UUAACUAGUAGAUAUUUCCUUUUGCGCCUAGCUAACUAUCAUUCUUAUCAUAAACUAUUUAUUUCCCUUUAGUUUUUUUUUAUCUAGCUAGCAUUGUAGGCCAUCUUUGAUGAGCUUCUGUUGUCAACUUGUCAUCAAUCAUGCGCAUGCAUGCACUUUGCAUCUUGUCUCUUUUGCAUGCAUCCAUCCUCACUUAUAAAACGGUAAUAUAUAUAUAUAUAUAUAUAUAUGUAAUCUGGUCUCACAGGCCAGUAGGUACUCUCCAAUUCAUGAGUGUUAGCUGUCAUAUGCCAAUGAUAUUUGAUGUCCUUUUCCCUUAGAACAAACUAGGGUAAGGAAAUCAUUGCUUCAAUGUUGCAGGGUGCAUGUGGUUAGGGAGCAAGAUCGUAUGAGUGACGAAUAUUAUCACAAGCUGCCAACUUGAUGAAGGCGAUGAAUUUUGGAAGAUUUUACUAUCAAGCUAGCUUACAUGAGAAAAUGAUAAUAUUUUCUGGCUCCACAUCCUCCAGAAAAAAGGAUGGAACAUAUGAUGAUAAACUAUUUGUAAAUUAAGGAGUUGAACUAAAUUAUAUAAUCCCCG
rnacentral:lncRNA from 1 species